UUUUAUUGCCACGUACAUCAAACGAGAACGUCAAUAGCGAUUGUUGCAUCGCUCGCUCACAGCUUGCAUGAGUUGCAGUUAUCAUAUCAGCAGUUUUCAAUAAUUGUAGUGAUAAACGGUUCGCUCGAUUUGAGUUUUAUCGAAGAAAAGCGCUUGCAUAUAGGGGUGAUAGGUCUCGAUGUAAAGUACCAACGUACCAUCGGGAAGGCGACGUUCAUAGUGCAGCAUAAUAAUUGAUGAAUGGAUACAAACACGCAGGAAUUUAAUUUCACCGAACGAGUUGUAUGUUCAACUAUUCGCAGUGCACGAUUGAUACACAAUGCUCAACGAGGGCGAAGAAGGUGAUAAGAAAAAGCCAGUAAUUGUACCGGCUUCAAAAGCAUCACACGAAAAUGGAUCUGUUGGAAAAGAUGAAAGUGCAAAACUCAAUGGUACUGGAAGCGGUACUGAGAGUAUCCCACCUGACGGUGGUGUCCGAGCCUGGUCUAUCAUGGUAGCCAGCUUCUUAGUAAAUGGCGUGCUUUUUGGUAUUAUCAAUUCAUAUUCACAAAUUUAUAAAGAGCUCGAGACAAGAUUAGUGGAAAACAAGGAAACCGAAGUAGCCUCGAGAGCAUCACUUGUCGGAUCAUUGACGAUCGGUACGACAUUUUUCUUGUCAUUUUUCGCUGGCAUAUUGACCGACAAAAUCGGUAUUCAGAAGACGACGUUCAUCGGUGGCGCUGUGGCCGUCAGUGGCUUGUUGCUGUCCUCUUUCGUUGCUAGCAAGGUUGAAUUAUUAUGCUUGACGUAUGGCAUAAUGUACGGAACGGGUGCAAGUUUGGCUUACACCCCGAGCUUAGUUAUACUCGGCCAUUAUUUUAAGCGCCACUUAGGCUUCGUUAACGGCGUCGUGACAUUGGGCAGUUCAACAUUCACCAUCAUCAUGCCUUACAUAAUCGAUUUGCUCCUGAGGGAAACUAGUCUGGAAACUACUUUUAAGUGCUUGGCCAUACCCACGAGUAUCGUCAUGCUCUCGGCACUCAUGUUCAAACCUAUACCAGGGCCCGCAGCGGAAGAGCAAGUGGAAAAAUUGAAAAAGAAGAAGUUCGGCACGAUGCUCAAGGAAGCCGUGAACGUGUCGAUCUGGAAGCGUAAAAAGUACCUCGUCUGGGCGACGGUCAUUCCAAUCGCACUUUUCGGGUACUUUAUUCCGUACGUCUACAUCGCUCAAUUUGUCAAAGACGAAUUCGAAGGUAUGGAUGACAAAUUGCCGCUCACGUGCAUCGGUAUUAGUUCUGGCAUCGGCCGGCUCUUCUUCGGUUGGAUAGCCGAUCAUCCUCGAGUCAAUCGAAUUUUCCUGCAGCAGUUCUCGUUCUUCAGCAUCGGCUGUCUAACGAUCACCUUGGCAUUCGCCAAGUCGUAUCACCUGUUGCUGGCCAUAUCGCUCGGCAUCGGCUUGUUCGACGGCUGCUUCAUCUCCAUGAUAGGACCGAUAGCCUUCGAUAUUUGUGGCAGCAAGGACGCGUCCCAAGCUAUUGGCUUUUUACUGGGAAUGAGCUCGAUACCGUUGACUUGCGGACCGCCGAUCGCUGGAAAGAUUCACGACAUUACCGGAUCAUAUCAGUUACCAUUUCUGCUGGCAGGAGUACCGCCGAUCUUGGGCUCUCUCAUGAUGACUUUCAUCUAUCGAGUCAGCUCAGAACCGGCCGAGGAGCCAACUUACGUCAACGACGAAGAGGUGGGCGAGGCUCGUCAGUCUUUAACCGAUCUUAAAAGAGUCAAUGAUCUUUAUAACAAUGGAAAUAAUAGAUAUCAGCCGAUAUCAGCUCAUGACGAAUACUCGCCGCUUUUGAUCAAGUGUCGUGCCGAAAUAACGACGUCUAUACCAGGGAGAUUCAAAAAUUCACUCAGCUUUACGUAAUUAAACUUGAAUAAUUAAGAAAUUUCGAGUAAAACUUUUUCAGUCGGGCGAAGUUAGUGAAUAUUCGUUUGUCAAUAUUAUGAUGUGAUAGUUUGGAUGAGAUUAACUAGCUGCUUUUACUACCAGAAAUCGAUGAUUCAUAGGUCGUUCUGAAGUUCAAUUCGUUUUAUAUAAAAGACAAUAAUAUAACUUUGAACAAAUUUCAAUGAUAAUUCUAAGUAUAUACAUAUAUGCCUUAAAAAUAAUAUCGAAUAUAGAAAAUCAGUUAUUCUUAUGGGCUGUAUUUCAAAAAAAUACCAUCCUUUUAAAUCUGUAUGAACUUUUGUAAAAAAUUUAUUGGGCUUCAUCUCAUUAAUGAUGUAACUACAGUAAAUGAAACGUUGUUAAACAUUUAUUAUGAGUAUCAUAUGUCCAAUGAUCUAGAUUUGAGUCUCGUAAUAAUACGUUAAUUCUUAAUUUUAGUACAAAGAACUAAUAAAUAUGUUGAAUUGUAUAGAAUACUUAUCUACGAUGUAUCAAAAAUGCCAGUGUUGGUUUUAGUGGGUAGUCGAAAAAUAUAUAAUGACUACGGUGGUAGCACGUCUAUGAUUUUAUCAUUUAGCACUAAAAGCAACACUGAAAAUUACAUAAUUUUUAUACCGUUUAGUUUUUUAAUAUACUUGUACCAAGGAAUUUUAAUUCCAAUAUCAAGUUUACAUUUAAUUUAAUAGUAUCUAAGUUUGUGAAUAUUUCGUUGUACAAAAAAUAAAUAUUCAAGAAGAUAUAAAUUGUAAUAUUUUUACUAUGUACUUUAUCGAAUAAUUUUCUGUAUUCCAUAAAGACAAAUAUAUAUAUGAAUAGGCAGGAAGAACUUCUCUCAUGGAUACAAUUUAAAGUUCACUCGUUCAAGAAAGAGAUUGGCGAUUUCAAUUCCACUACGCUGACAACUUCGAACGAAACGAAAAACGUCUGAAAACAUCCCUAGCA